CCUACGGGAGGCUGCAGUGAGGAAUAUUGGUCAAUGGGCGUAAGCCUGAACCAGCCAAGCCGCGUGAGGGAUGAAGGUUCUAUGGAUCGUAAACCUCUUUUAUAAGGGAAUAAAGUGUGGGACGUGUCCUAUUUUGUAUGUACCUUAUGAAUAAGGAUCGGCUAACUCCGUGCCAGCAGCCGCGGUAAUACGGAGGAUCCGAGCGUUAUCCGGAUUUAUUGGGUUUAAAGGGUGCGUAGGCGGCCUUUUAAGUCAGCGGUGAAAGUCCGUGGCUCAACCAUGGAAUUGCCGUUGAAACUGGCGGGCUUGAGUAUGUUAGAGGUAGGGGGAAUGCGUGGUGUAGCGGUGAAAUGCGUAGAUAUCACGCAGAACCCCGAUUGCGAAGGCAGCCUGCCAAGCCAUGACUGACGCUGAUGCACGAAAGCGUGGGGAUCAAACAGGAUUAGAUACCCUAGUAGUC
rnacentral:rRNA from 1 species